GACGAACGCUGGCGGCGUGCUUAACACAUGCAAGUCGAACGAAGUGGCGAACGGGUGAGUAACGCGUAAUCAACCUGCCCUUCAGAGGGGGACAACAGUUGAAAACGACUGCUAAUACCGCAUACUGAUGGCGGGGAUUGCGUCUGAUUAGCUAGUUGGAGGGGUAACGGCUCACCAAGGCGAUGAUCAGUAGCCGGUCUGAGAGGAUGAACGGCCAAAUUGGGAAUGAGACACGGCCCAGACUCCUACGGGAGGGAGCAGUGGGGAAUCUUCCGCAAUGGACGAAAGGCUUACGGAGCAACGCCGCGGUGGUGAUGACGGCCUUCGGGUUGUAAAGCUCUGUUAAUCGGGGCGCGGUACCGGAAGAGAAAGCCACGGCUAACUACGUGCCAGCAGCCGCGGUAAUAC
rnacentral:rRNA from 1 species